GACGUAGGAUGCAAGCGUUGUCCGGAUUUAUUGGGCGUAAAGAGUUCGUAGGCGGUUCGUUAAGUUUGGUGUUAAAGACCGGGGCUCAACCUCGGGACCGCACUGAAUACUGGCGGACUGGAGUGCAGUAGAGGCAAGCGGAAUUCCCAGUGUAGCGGUGAAAUGCGUAGAUAUUGGGAAGAACACCGGUGGCGCAAGCGGCUUGCUGGGCUGUUACUGACGCUGAGGAACGAAAGCUAGGGGAGCAAACAGG
rnacentral:rRNA from 1 species